rnacentral:rRNA from 1 species
UACGUAGGGUGCGAGCGUUGUCCGGAAUUAUUGGGCGUAAAGAGCUUGUAGGCGGUUCGUCGCGUCGGCUGUGAAAACCUGAGGCUCAACCUCAGGCCUGCAGUCGAUACGGGCGGACUUGAGUACUGCAGGGGAGACUGGAAUUCCUGGUGUAGCGGUGAAAUGCGCAGAUAUCAGGAGGAACACCGGUGGCGAAGGCGGGUCUCUGGGCCGUAACUGACGCUGAGGAGCGAAAGCGUGGGGAGCGAACAGG